GGGGACUAUCGAACAUGCACAGCCCAAGGCACAGGGGGUCAGUCUUUCGCAAGACUUAAGCAAUGGCAGGCAAAACUAUAAAGCAAGCAGAAAGUUGUAACAGUUUUAUAUAGUAACAGGUCCAAAUAAUAAUAAUGAUGCCAAAACAAUUUACAAACAAAUAAAGUCCAAAUGUUCCAAAUAAUAAAGUCACUAAUUUCACUAAUUCUCAGUUAAAGUUAAAGUCCAAAAUGUUCGUAAUAUUCCAAGUUGAUGUUGUCUGGCUUGAAUAGUUACAGUUGUGUUGAGCUGUCUUUUGAGUACGGGUUUCACCUGAGUAGCUGAGCCUGGUUGGCUUUUGAAGCACUCCUAUCUGGAUCACACCGACGAGACUACACUGGUAACUACAUCAUGACUACAUUGUGACUACAUCGUGACUUCAAUGAUUUCAAAAAGUUGACUGUACAAUUUAUAGCACAUCUAGUAAGAGCUCAAAUUAUGACGAGUAUUACUAACUAUAAAUUUAUGUAAUUUGAGUAAUCACAAUUUACUACAAAACUGUCAAA
rnacentral:lncRNA from 1 species